CACUGAACUUUUUAUCACCACCGAUACAAUUUCUUGAGCAUAUUUAGCGCUUCUUCUCAAAUGGGUGAAAUAAUUAUAACAUUACUGUAAUAAUAUUGAAAAUGCAAUCACAGCACUCGCUUACUAUUACUCAAAUAAACCCAUUCUGUGUAAAUAGGUAAAAAAAUAAUCAUUUGUAAAUAGAUAAAUUGGAGAUAUAAGAUUAGUCCUUGUAAAAUAAAUCUGG